CGUCUCGGUGUAACCAGCGGAGGGGCUUCAUUA
rnacentral:rRNA from 1 species